AAUUAUUGAUAUACUAUAUAAAAACUGCAGUUUUUCAACAGUAUUCUAGUAAUUUUUUCGUAUUCUUGUAGUUUUUUUCCAUAAGGGUCGUUGGAAAAAAUGUAAGAAAACAUUAGACAAUCUGAAGAAUUUUAUAUAAUUUCACAUGCGAGCAUUCUGAGAAAUUAUGAAAUUUCUUAUUUCAUAUUUCUUUGGAAAGUUGAGAAAAAAUAUUAGAUAAAUUGAAAAAUUUUUCAUAAUUUCUAAUAGGAUCGUUCUGAUCGAGACAUUAUAUUUUAUGUUUUGGUGAAAAAAUUUGAAAACAAUUUCUCAUAAGUUUACAUAAUUACUUAUGAAUUUGUGACAAGAGAAAUUAUGAAAAAUUUUAUAAAAAAUUAUGAAAAAAGUUUUUAUCAGGGAAAACUGCAUACUUCGUUAUAUUACAAAAAAUCUGAGAAAAAUUUUUACCAAGUGUUUGUACAUUUAACUCGGUCCUGUAACCGAGCAUCUAACAUCUAUGGAGUGUUUAGUGAACUACAAAUGCAAGUCGGUAGGUCAACUCCUACGGUAAAACGUGAGGACAACCAUUAAUGGACAUCCUGUGUGUGUGUGUGUGUGUGUGUGUGUGUGUGUGUGUGUGUGUGUGUGUGUGUGUGUGCGUGUGUGUGUGUGCAUAGUCAUUAAUAAUGACUGUUUCUACUUUAACCAAACUUAAACCAAACCACCCUACAAUGAGGAAACAGAUACUGCAACCGCGGAGAGCAACUCCUUAAACGACGCAUACAGUACUGCAACCGACGACGACUGCAACAAAAUCGCUCGUCACAGCAGAUUAAAGAAGAACAUGAAAAUAUACAACCUAUAAAACAAGAAUUACUCCCAUGGCCUCUCCUAAUAAAGAAAAAAAGAACAAAUAUACCCCCAUCGACUUCCCCCGGUAAAGAAUACGACGUUUAUCCCAUAGAAGACUUUGAAUCCAAAGGUUUCUAUAGAGAGACCAUCGACCAGUGUCUUCUCGAUCUUGCCGAAUUAGAAGAAUCAUCAAAAAUAAAUAACAAAACCCCUGCGGUGCAACCCUUAAUUACAUUCCCUGAAAUAAAAUCUUGUACUCCAGUAGACUUCUCAGAAGUAGAUCCUGCAUUACUUUACCACCCCAUAGUUUCAACCUCUUUCUACUGUUGCAUCCCCACUAACACUCGAGCUCCCCAAACUAGAUUUAGAGAUAGAGAAUAUAUUAAAGAACGCCCCACUCCCAGGUCAGUACGUCAAGUAGUGGCAUCGUCAUUAAUGUGCGAUUCGAGAGCGACAAAGAGACAUCAUCAACGAAGAACGGCCUCCGUGGAGCAAUUCGCUGUUAAUCGCACGGUGCCCUUCAUACCAUCUACGAGAACGUUUGCUAAUUUUGACUGAAUGUUGGUGAUACCGACAACAUUGUUAGAUAAAUCUUUCUAGGCAGUGAUGAUGCACUAAACGGUAUAAUCUGCAAAUAAAACCAGCUAAUUACUUUGAGGAUUAGACAAGAACUCGGGACGAUACGAUACGACCAUGCUGUCAACGAGAGAAAACUGAUAUUGAGAACAAAGAAAGGCCAUCCCGGCAACCCGGCUUCCACCGCCCCUUCUUCUUGUGGGGCCUGGAUAUCAGACUACAAGGGAGUCUUAGUACCAAUGAUUUACUGCUUCCUUUGUUGGAUCCUGGCCAGCCACCGCCCCUGAGUGCGGUGUUGGAUGGUCUAGGACAAUUGCCUUUGUCCCUCCGAUCGUUUGUGCGCUCUGUCGAAAUCAUCCACAGCCUACGAUUGGCUAAUAUGUGAUUACGCACAAGCGACCGGAGGGGUAAAAUCGUGGUGGGAAUAAACAUGGGGUGUUCAGUUUACGAGCGUCUUUUUCUAAAUUCUUUGCCCUCUCGCCGCGUCACAGGCUUUUGCAUAGCUGCAUAACCGUAUGCAUAAGGAAAUUGAUUGGUCUAUUUCCUUAUGCAUGUGCUAACGGACCAAUCAACUUCUUUAUGCAUACGGUUAUGCAGCUAUGCAAAAGCCUGUGCUGCGGCCUUUAGCCGAGUAUUAUUCUACAAAUCGAUUAUGAUUGGCCAACUUCUUACGGUUACGACCUGCAUAAACCAGGCUUAAUCAAUCCCUAGAGAACUCAGGAGGAUCAAGAAGAAAAAGGACAAAAGAGUACACAAGUUUCGCUUCUAACGGCACUGACAUACGCAUACAACUUAUAUCAACACUUACAUCUUUAUGUAAAUUUUUUAUUUUAGGAAAUAUGAUUGAGUUUAUUUUAAAAUGUCACAAAAUAAAACUUUCCUCUAUAGAUACGUUAAGAAAUUAAUAGAAGAUUAAAAUAUACAUGCAUAGAAGAUUGCUUUCCGAUAACAAUAAUUAUCAAAAAGCUUUCUUCUAAUAAUAAGUCAAUUUAUCUUAUAUACCCAUAUAUAUGUAUUAAGUGUUAUGGAUACUACUGUAUAUGAUGCAUUACAUACUGAAUAAAAUGACUGCAACGCUAA